rnacentral:tRNA from 1 species
UGGUUGAAGGGUAAAACACCUGCUUAGGAAGCACGAGGCCCUGAGUUCAAACCCCAG